AAAUUGAAGAGUUUGAUCAUGGCUCAGAUUGAACGCUGGCGGCAGGCCUAACACAUGCAAGUCGAACGGUAACAGGAAGCAGCUUGCUGCUUCGCUGACGAGUGGCGGACGGGUGAGUAAUGUCUGGGAAACUGCCUGAUGGAGGGGGAUAACUACUGGAAACGGUGGCUAAUACCGCAUAACGUCGCAAGACCAAAGAGGGGGACCUUCGGGCCUCUUGCCAUCAGAUGUGCCCAGAUGGGAUUAGCUUGUUGGUGAGGUAACGGCUCACCAAGGCGACGAUCCCUAGCUGGUCUGAGAGGAUGACCAGCCACACUGGAACUGAGACACGGUCCAGACUCCUACGGGAGGCAGCAGUGGGGAAUAUUGCACAAUGGGCGCAAGCCUGAUGCAGCCAUGCCGCGUGUAUGAAGAAGGCCUUCGGGUUGUAAAGUACUUUCAGCGGGGAGGAAGGUGUUGUGGUUAAUAACCACAGCAAUUGACGUUACCCGCAGAAGAAGC
rnacentral:rRNA from 2 species